rnacentral:rRNA from 1 species
AUUGAACGCUGCGGAAUGCUUUACACAUGCAAGUCGAACGGCAGCACGGACUUCGGUCUGGUGGCGAGUGGCGAACGGGUGAGUAAUAUAUCGGAACGUGCCCAGUCGUGGGGGAUAACGUAGUGAAAAUUACGCUAAUACCGCAUACGAUCUAUGGAUGAAAGCGGGGGAUCGCAAGACCUCGCGCGAUUGGAGCGGCCGAUAUCAGAUUAGGUAGUUGGUGAGGUAAAGGCUCACCAAGCCAACGAUCUGUAGCUGGUCUGAGAGGACGACCAGCCACACUGGAACUGAGACACGGUCCAGACUCCUACGGGAGGCAGCAGUGGGGAAUUUUGGACAAUGGACGCAAGUCUGAUCCAGCCAUUCCGCGUGCAGGACGAAGGCCUUCGGGUUGUAAACUGCUUUUGUACAGAACGAAAAGGUCUCUAUUAAUACUAGGGGCUCAUGACGGUACUGUAAGA